GAUGAAGAACGUAGCGAAAUGCGAUAAGUAAUGUGAAUUGCAGAAUUCAGUGAAUCAUCGAAUCUUUGAACGCACAUUGCGCCCGCCAGUAUUCUGGCGGUCAUGCCUGUUCGAGCGUCAUUUCAACCAUCAAGCCCCCGGCUUGUGUUGGGGACCUGCGGCUGCCGCAGGCCCUGAAAACCAGUGGCGGGCUCGCUAGUCACUCCGAGCGUAGUAAUACAUCUCGCUCAGGGCGUGCUGCGGGUUCCGGCCGUUAAAAAGCCUUAUUUACCCAAGGUUGACCUCGGAUCAGGUAGGAAGACCCGCUGAACUUAAGCAUAUCAAUAAGCGGAGGA
rnacentral:misc_RNA from 1 species